AUGUUUAAUACUUAUGUGAUUAUGGCAGAAUUUUUGUGUUCAAAUUGCUUUUUGCAGAAUAAUCUUCAUAUUAAACCUUUGGAUAACUGGCACAGCAAGACAAACAUUGGUCCCAACAUCUUGUAUGCUGAGUUUGUUCCUAUCUUACAGUUUCCUAGUCAGCGUGUGUUUAUUGGGUUGAUCAGACCCUCUCCUUCAUCUGGUGCAAUGCGAUCAAAUGAUCUCCAACGUGUAAAGAGCUUGGGAAACGGUCGGUCCUAUCCUUACCAGAACAAAAACAAAAAGCUGGAAAAUGGAAAAUCAGUGAGAAUGAAAUUGCAGGGAACACUACGACACCAAAAUCUGGAGACAGGAGAAUCCAGAGCGUCACAGCCAAGAUCUGUUCCACUGGAGCACAAACUGCUGGAACUUCGGGAAUACUUAAAUGAAAUUCUGACAAAUUGCUGGAGGCUGAGCGCCGACUAGCUUGAGAAUGAGAAACUCUGGAAGCUGCAGUCUUAGGAAGUGUCCUAUACUUUCAUGAGAUUCAGGAAUCCCACCAAAAUUCCAGGAUUAGGAGCCUAUAAAGGCCCUCUAUGACUCUGGCAGUGGUCAGGAAACAGUCAUCUUCAGAACACAGUCCCAGAAUCUACUCCACAACACAGACCUGCUCCCCAGGACGAGAGACUUCACCAGAACCUUGUUGUGGAGCUGUGGGGAAAGAAUAUUCUCCUCAUCCUCGCCCUGUCUAAGCUUCGUGUCACACCUAAGGAUGAGAAAAGUGAUAUCAAAAGAAAAUCUUGUAGAUGUCACAGGGUAGAGACUGGGCCAAAAAUCCCAUCACCUUGAGUUUGGCCAUAAAUUUAUAAAUACAAGAGCAAUAACAAAAUCCAUGAAGGAAAAAUAGGCAGGCUGGAUUUUAAAAGAUACCAUCAAGAAAAUGUAAAAACCAACCAGAAACUGAGACAAAAUAUUACAGAGCACAUAUCUAAUAGGUAACUUGUAUUCAUCACAUUCAAAAAUGCACAUAAAAAUCCCCCAAAUCAUACAACGAACAUGCAGAUGAAACAGACCAUAUUCAUAUACAGAUAUUAUUAAUAGACCACAUCAAAUGUGUGAUAUGAAGACUCUCUAUAGAAUCAUCACAAUCAUUCUGUAAACCUAAAACUUUUCUAACAUUUUAAAAAUGUUUAUUACAAAAAAUGUGAUUGGAGAGAUUAAAGAAGGACAAGUUGAGAUCUAUUGACUCCUGCUAAAUUUUUAUCCUUUUUCGUGGCAGAAUUGGAGCCCGCCAAAACAGCAUGGGUGAGUUAGAUUUUUGAGGGUGACUUUACCAAAGCAAAUGAAAGAGGGUAGGGCAAAUAGCUGUGUCACCACUGAGCCAUAGCUUAACUUAAAACAUUGACACAGAUCUGUGUAAUGACACGUAGCCAUGAAAAUAUCCAUAGCAUUUGACACACACAUUGGGAAAGACUAUGGGUCUCUUAAUAUAAAUAAAGAUUCUGAAAUGCAGAGUGAGGUGAUCAGGACUAGGUCAGAUUAAAAUCUUACCACUGAAUAAAGCAUGUUUGUUUUUAAAAGCCCACAUGUUAAUCGUAAUGUAUAAACACAACAAUUAACCAUAGAUUAAAUUUAUAGAGAAAACGAGCCAAGAAGGGUGUUUAAUAAACAUUGUUUGAAUGAAUAAAUAAAUAUCCUGUCUUGUGAGUGCAGUAGUUUGGUAAUACUUUCCAGGAACUACUGGGAAAUUUUUAAUGAGAAGAUAUUUAAGGUCAUAAAGUUUAUGUUUUAUUUAGCACAAUCUGUAACUGAAUAGAGAAAGACUGAGCAUAUGGAAAAAAAUUAGGAGUCUUUUUUUACUCUAGAGAAGAUGAUGGCAUGAGAGAUGUGCUAACAGCAGGAAUGGGGAAGACAGGAAAGAAAAAAAUAAUAGACAGAGCCUGGUAACUUAUUGAAUAUAGAGGAGAAAGUGUUUAAGUUUAGUUAAGAAAUCUGUUUUCUUUUCUUAACUGUUUCUUGACAGGCCUUCUAUCUAGAAAGUUUGCUGGUAGAUCAUAACUUGGAUAUGUAACUUAUGUUAUGCUUUGGACUUAAUGAGAUUAGGCUAGAGGGAAAUUCAGGGGAUCUUUAUGUUGUGCAAAGUGUUCAUUAGCCAUGGUAAUAGCUGAUUUUAAAGAUCAUUUGUUUUCUGUGAAAAGGAAAAAAAUACAAUGUGUUUAAGUGGUUAUGUUGAUGUUCCAUUUUGACAAUAAUUACUACACAAUUGUGAAGGGAAAUUGGUCAUUUACGAACUGUAAUGACAAAUCUUAAUCUGGUAAUAACCGCAAAUGCACUCCAUUACAUGUAUAAUUGGCAGUAAUCUGUAUCCAAGCACUGGUCCAGACAGGCAACAACUGAAGGACAAAAUUCUCAUUUCCUAGAUAUAUAAUGUUCCUUGAAAUAAAUAAGCAGAAAACUCUAAUUAUAGAACUGUACAUUAUUUAUAACAAUAUUAAGAUGCAUUUCUUUACAAGGUUCACAUUUGUAUUCAUCUUGAUGAAUACCUCAGUUACCCUGAUAUGAUUAUUACACAUUGUAUGCCUAUAUCAAGUCAUCGCUUGUACUUCAGAAAUAUAUACCCUUAUUAUGUACCCAUAAUAAUUAUACAAAUAAAAUUGUAUAAAUGAAAUGAAAAGGAGAAGUAGAAGAUCUGAGUGGUUAAAAUAAACAAGGGGAAGACACCACUUGCUCAUUGCUAAGUACCAGCUAGGAACUGACUUGGCAUUUUAAUUACUUACCUGAGAUUUUUAUCAACAUUUAAUUAUUGACAUGAGAUAUUCUUAUCAUAAAAGUGUCUGGAAGAGUCUUGAGUUUUUGUUAUGGACUGAAUCGUAUGCACCUAAAAUUCAUAUUGUGAAGCUCAAACCCCCAGUUGACUGCAUUUGGAGAUGGGCUCUUAAGGGGAUAGUUAAACUUAAAGGAGGAUGUAAGGCUAACAUCCUAAACCAAUAGGACUGUUGUAUUUGUAACAGGAGGAAGAAACAUUAGGGGCAUACGUGCACAGAAGACAGGCUAAGUGAGGACAUAGGGAGAAGGCUGCUGUCUGAAAUCCAGAAAGUGAGCCGUCACCAAAACUGAAACUGGUCCCACCUUGGUCUUGAACUUCCAGCCUCCAGAACUAGGAGAAAAUACAUUUUUGCUGUUUAAGCACCCAGUCUGUGGUAUGUUAUUAUGGCGGCCUGAGCAGACUAGUACACUCACUAAUAGUGACCAUAAAAUCUAUUGGACAUGUCCUCAACUUCAUCUAAUGGGCAGGGAAAAACUAACUGCAAAGAACCAUCGAAAUGAACAGUAGAAAUUUCUACCUGAUGUUUGUCAUUUUUUUUUUUUUUUUUUUUUAAGACGGAUUCUCGCUCUGUCGCCCAGGCUGGAGUGCAGUGGCCGGAUCUCAGCUCACUGCAAGCUCUGCCUCCCGGUUUUACGCCAUUCUCCUGCCUCAGCCUCCGGAGUAGCUGGGAUUACAGGCGCCCACCAACUCACCUGGCUAGUUUUUUUUUUUUUUUUUUGUAUUUUUUAGUAGAGACGGGGUUUCACCGUAUUUGCCAGGAUGGUCUCGAUCUCCUGACCUCGUGAUCCACCCAUCUCGGCCUCCCAAAGUGCUGGGAUUACAGGCUUGAGCCACCGCGCCCGGCCAUCAUUUUUUUUUUUUUAACAUACUAGCUAUGCAGAAUAUUUAUCUCCAAAGUAAUUUAGGUAUUUAAAACACUGAUUAAAAUUCUAAUGAUUUUGCGGGGGGGGGAAGCUUUUAAAAAAUUUAAUGAGAUACAUCAUUUUUCUCAGUCACCUUCACAUUUUGCUGAUUUAUUUUCCUUAGAAACAUAUUAGUCCAGAAGGAAAUUUGUCCAGAAACCUACCUGCAUUUUACAGGCAAAGUUUCUGACAGUAGUGGUAUUUCAAAUUCUUUGGGAUAGUUUUUAAAAAUUAUCUUAUUUACAGUUUGAUAAUUUUAAAAUCAAAAGGUAUAAAUUUUGUUGCAAAAUAUUUUCUUAAAGUUUCUGACUCAUGUGGUUAAAUUUCUUUCCUGUAGUCCACACUACUUUCCUGUUUUCACUUUCCAUUAGUAAUCACCAUUGACUUUAUCAAGUAUAUUUGGCCAGAAUUUUCUAUAUGCACAGUUAUACUACAUAUAUUGGUAGUUUUAAAACACGGGU
ensembl:lncRNA